rnacentral:misc_RNA from 1 species
UCUCCGUUGGUGAACCAGCGGAGGGACCAUUACAGAGUUGCAAAACUCCCCAACCAUUGUUAACGUUACCUAUCCCGUUGCUUCGGCGGGCGGCCCGGGCCCCGCGCCCGGCGCCCCCCGGCCCCCCGUGGGCGCCCGCCGGAGGUAAACCAAACCCCUGAAUAGCAUGGCCUCCCUGAUACUUCUGUUCUGAAUAAGUCAAAACUUUCAACAACGGAUCUCUUGGUUCUG